UAUGGUCGAUUGAUUUAAGGUUAAGGGUUGGAUUUGGUUUAGGUGAUGUUCAGUAAUUGUUCAACAACAAUUUUACGUACUGAACCUGAAUGUUAACAGAUGAUCCAAGUCUCUGUUGGUGGACUAUCCAAGUCAAGCGUCACCCAUGGAUCUCAGUUUUUCUCAGUACAAGCUAUAGAGAGGUAACUCCAGAGAUGUUCAGCGCUGUAGGCCACUACACUACUGCUCA